AAAGCUUAAAAUCAUAUAUGGAAUACCGCAUAAAUAGAUCUCAAUUAAAAUAACUAUUGAGUGUACAUGAAAAAUCUUCAUCUUAAACUCAGGGAAGGCCUACACAAUCCCGUCGUGGUGCUCUUGACCGAGUGUCUUGAUGGGCCGGCACGUUUACUUUGAACAAAUUAGAGUGCUUAAAGCAGGCAGCAGCCACCUGAAUACCGAGUGCAUGGAAUAAUGGAAUAGGACCUCGGUUCUAUUUUGUUGGUUUUCGGAUGCCCCGAGGUAAUGAUCAAAAGAGAUAGACGGGGGCAUUCGUAUUGCGACAUUAGAGGUCAAAUUCCUGGAUCAUCGCAAGAUGGGCAGAAUCGAAAGCAUUUGCCAAGAAUGUUGUCUUUGAUCAAGAACGAAACUUAGAGGUUCGAAGGCGAUCAGAUACCGCCCUAGUUCUAAUCAUAGGGGU
rnacentral:ncRNA from 1 species